ACACGGACCAAGGAGUGCAAGAGGCGUGCGAGUCUUUGGGUUGUUGCCAAACCCGCGGGCGUAAUGAGAGUGAAGGGAGCGUCUAGCUCCCGAGGCGAGAGCCCGCUGCACUGCGGGCGCAUCGUCGACCGAUCCCGGGCUACGCUGUGGCGGGAUUCGAGUGAGAGCGUGCCUGUUGCGACCCGAAAGAUGGUGAACUAUGCCUGAAUGGGGCGAAGCCAGAGGAAACUCUGGUGGAAGCUCGCAGCGGUUCUGACGUGCAAAUCGAUCGUCAAAUUUGGGUAUAGGGGCGAAAGACUAAUCGAACCGUCUAGUAGCUGGUUCCCUCCGAAGUUUCCCCCAGGAUAGCUGGAGCCCGGUGCAGUUUUAUCAGGUAAAGCGAAUGAUUAGAGGUCUUGGGGUUGAAACAACCUCAACCUAUUCUCAAACUUUAAAUGGGUAAGAAGCUCGGCUUGCUCGGUUGAAGUCGGGCGUGGGAAUGCCGGGGCUCCUAGUGGGCCAUUUUUGGUAAGCAGAACUGGCGAUGCGGGAUGAACCGAACGCCGGGUUAAGGUGCCCGAAUCGACGCUCAUCAGAUCCCAUAAAAGGUGUUGGUUGAUUCAGACAGCAGGACGGUGGCCAUGGAAGUCGGAAUCCGCUAAGGAGUGUGUAACAACU
rnacentral:rRNA from 1 species